AAAAAUAUAUUGUUUAUGCCAAAGCGCUUGAAUAAAGAAAUAAAUAAUAUGAAAACCAUAUCUUUUCUGUUCUAAACCAUAUCUAUUCUAUUUUAGUGUGCCCAGCGAAGCGGGCCGGGUUUGCUAGUACAGUCCAAUCGUGAUAGUCCGACACAUACGGGACCGACUCGUUGUCGGAUUAUCAAAUAUUCCGGACUACCGAAGGUUCCAUUUAAUGACAUGAAAAGACAGAAAAAUAUCACAUCAACACCGUCAGAAAUCGCGAGAGAACUGGCGUCGUUCAAAUUUAAUGACAAAUACGUUGUGACCGGGAAACAAAACACAAUCCCCCUCUGCUGCUCUGCUACGACUGAUCAAAAUAAAAUAAUGCCAAUUGCAUCCAUAGACGUUAUGAGGUUGUCGGAUUACCGAACGUGUCGGAUUAAGAAAUGUCGGACUAUCACGAUUGUACUGUAUUGUAUAAAAGAAAGUCAUGUUAGUUACACUAUUUAUAACUCGAGAACGGCUGAACCGAUUUGGCUGAAAAUUGGUGAAGAGGUAUCUUAGAACCAGGAGAUGGACAUAGGAUACUUUUUACCCCAUUCGAACGCGUUUAUGUGAAGUCACUAUAUAUAUAACAAAAACGCAUCUGAUAUGGAAUAACAAAACGCAAAUGACAGCUAAACGUAAUUCUGUCUAUGGUUAAGUAGAAAAUUUGAUAAUAUAAAUUUUGUCAGAAAUAUAUAAUCACAGUAAUUUGUAUUCUCUUUGAAUUAUCAUUAUCAAUGCCGCGACCAAGACGAUCGAAUCUUUCCCGACAAAGCCGUACUGCAAGCAGGGGUCGAAUCGUGAUAGUCGUUAACGAAACGACAAUCGUUCGAACACAAAUUACGUGAGUCGAUAAUCGAAUGAACGAGUUGGGAUCAUAACAGUCGAAAGAAGACGUAUCGUAAUUGUAAUUUUUGUUUAUCGAUUAUUUUUCUCAUCUUCUUCGUUUUUUUAAGUCACAAUAGAAUUUGAAGUGUCAAAAUAAACCGCAGAAAGUAACGAAAAUAUAAAAAGUUUAAAUGGAUCCGAGUAUUUUCUUUUAUUUAAGUUCCAGCGAUGAAGAAAAUAAUGAAAGAGUUGUGCGAAAACAACUUCGAGACAAAAGCGAUCCGCUAGCAUUAUCAAACAAUGCUUCCUCAGGUUUAUCAAAAGGUUUCGCUUAAGCAAAGAAGCAUUUAAUUAUGUUUUAAAUAACACAAAUAUAAAUUGCCAAUACACAAAAGCUGUUCCGGCGGUGCUCCAACUGGCUGCGUGUCUCAGCCUACUCGCAAGUGGUGGCUAUCAGCAUGCAAUAGGCAAUGACUAUUUUAUAGGAAUGUGCCAGAGCACUGUCUAGAAAUUAACGGGCAAUGUUUUGAAAGAAAUUGAAGCCAAAUUGUGUCCUAAACAUAUUAAAUUUGAGCCAGAUGAUUCGAGAAGGUGCAAAGAGUUGUUUGUUGAGAACUAUCAAAUUCCAGGAGUGGUUGGAUGCAUUGAUGGCACCCACAUUGGACUACAAAAGCCCACGGUCAACGAGCACAUGUAUUUCAACAGGAAGGGUUUUCAUAGCAUAAAUGCGAUGUUGAUUUGCGACCACACUACGAAAAUUCUCGCAAUAAACUGCCAAUAUGGGGGUGCAGCCCCCGACUCAUUCAUAUGGAAGCAUUCAAACGAACGAAUGGUUAUGGAACAUCGUUUUUUGCACAAUAGGAGUGACAAUGCCUGGCUGCUAGGGGACUCUGGAUAUCCACUUGAGCCGUGGUGCAUAACACCGUACAGAAAUCCAUCGGACGGAUCAGGUGAAGCAAGGUUCAAUGAAAUUCAUUCCAAGGCACGGUGCAUCAUUGAUUGAACUAAUGGUGUACUGAAACGUCGGUGGAGAAUCCUAGAAUACAACAAAAGUGGAAGAUAUUAUCCUAUAAAAGUGGCUAGGUUUGCGAAUGUGUGUGCAGCGCUUCACAACAUUUGUAUACAAUUUAAUGUGAGCUUUACAGCAACAAAUUCAGAGAGUCAAACCGCAUCUGACAUAGUGUCUGGAGAAGGCCAGUAUACUAAAUAGAAUCGGCCAAACAAUCAGAGAUCAAAUUAAAAUCUCGUUGAGGAACUCGACAUAACCAUCUUGUUUUCAUAUUGUACUAUUAUGCUUUUGAAGUAUAAUGCUAACCGACCUAAAUAAAAUAAAAUAACUCGAAACAC